UGCCAGCCGCCGCGGUAAUACGGAGGGUGCAAGCGUUGUUCGGAAUUAUUGGGCGUAAAGCGCACGUAGGCGGAUUAGUAAGUUAGGGGUGAAAUCCCGGGGCUCAACCCCGGAACUGCCUCUAAUACUGCUAGUCUUGAGUUCGAGAGAGGUGAGUGGAAUUCCGAGUGUAGAGGUGAAAUUCGUAGAUAUUCGGAGGAACACCAGUGGCGAAGGCGGCUUUCUGGACCGAUACUGACGCUGAGACGCGAAAGCAUGGGUAGCGAAGAGGAUUAGAUA
rnacentral:rRNA from 1 species